GAUACAAUACUUGGUCUUACCAUUUAUUAUUACUUGAUAUGAUUCGAUACACUUGCCGAGGUCUUAACAAAUUUUUGGCGCGGUUGUUGGGAAAUCGUGGUUUAAACUAUACUUCUGUGUGAUUCUUAACCAGUAAAACUUUAUUUUAUUGUUUUUAAUUUUUGUGUAUUUUUUAUUUUUAUUUUUUGGGCUAAUUGGGUGUUUUAGUGUUUUGUUCUCUAGUGUAUGCAUGGUUCAAUUCAAACUAGAAGCACGAAAUUAUCUAAACCUCUUCUUACAGGUCUGGACAAUAGUAGAAGAAGA
rnacentral:lncRNA from 1 species